AGAACAUAAAGGCCAACACCCCUGGGUAAAUUUUUGUGACCAGUUUUCGGCGAGCCAGUGGGCCCAGAUGGGCCUAGGAGAGUAAGACUGUUUUGCUCUAUCGAUUCUACCUAACGAGCUCACACCGACAUUCGUAGCAGCCAAAGGAGUGUCAGUAUAAAAGCUUCAGAUUGAGUCGGUACAAUACAAAAAUCACGCACUUCAUCUUUCUUGCCAAUUCGAGAUUCCAGCAGCGAGGAGCUUCAAUGACCAGCUAAUAACAUCGCCCUUUUGUGACAAUUGAUGAUGAGUAAAUUUUUCUUCCACUGUCCAAAUGUAUACCCGUGGUGGUUAUCGGUGGUUGUUGGAGGUGGUCGUAGGUCGACGAGGAG